UACAGAGGUCUCAAGCGUUGUUCGGAUUCAUUGGGCGUAAAGGGUGCGUAGGCGGCGCGGUAAGUCGGGUGUGAAAUCUCGGAGCUUAACUCCGAAACUGCGUUCGAUACUGCCGUGCUUGAGGACUGGAGAGGAGACUGGGAAUUUACGGUGUAGCGGUGAAAUGCGUAGAUAUCGUAAGGAAGACCAGUGGCGAAGCGGGU
rnacentral:rRNA from 1 species